GGAAUAUUGGACAAUGGGGGAAACCUUGAUCCAGCCAUGCCGCGUGAGUGAAGAAGGCCUUCGGGUUGUAAAGCUCUUUUGUAUGGGGAAAUGAUGAUGGUACCAUAAGAAUAAGCACCGGCAAACUUCGUGCCAGCAGCCGCGGUAAUACGAAGGGUGCAAGCGUUGUUCGGAAUUACUGGGCGUAAAGGGCGUGUAGGUGGAUUAAUCAGUCAGGAGUGAAAUCCCGGGGCUCAACUUCGGAAUUGCUUUUGAGACGAUUAAUCUAGAGUGUACUAGGGGACAAUGGAACACCCAGUGUAGAGGUGAAAUUCGUAGAUAUUGGGUAGAACACCGGAGGCGAAGGCGAUUGUCUGGGGUACGACUGACGCUGAGGCGCGAAAGCGUGGGGAUCAAACA
rnacentral:rRNA from 1 species